GUCUGUGAGUUCGAGCCCCGCAUCAGGCUCUGUGCUGACAGCUCAGAGCCUGGAGCCUGUUUCAGAUUCUGUGUCUCCCUCUCUCUCUGCCCCUCCCCUGCUCAUGCUCUGUCUCUGUCUCAAAAAUAAAUAAAAACAUUAAAAAAAUUGUUUUUAAAAAAAGAGUACAAUUAUCUUGAUAAUUGCGCCGAGUGAUAUAUGGAAGUGUUGAAUCACUAUAUUGUACACUUGAAACUAAUAUAGCACCGUAUGUUAACCACAGUGGAAUUAAAAUAAAAAAAAAUAAAGUAUCAGAAGAUUUGCUAACAAAAAGAAAAUUGCUGUGAGUUAAAGUUAAGUGUUCCCACUGAUGAUAGAUAGAUAUAAGCAUAUGAAGUGAUGGAUCUGUUAAUUGACUCAUUGGGGGAAAUCCUUUCACAAUGUAUACAUAUAUCAAUUCAUCACCUUGUACACUUGACAUAUCUUACAAUUUAUUUGUCAAUUAUACCUCAGUGAAGCAGAGGGGGAAAUAUUUAUAUUGGGUUAGGUGAAAAUUAAAUGCCUAAAAGUAAAUUGGAUUCAUCUUUAUCCUCAUUGACAGGAAAAUUUUGAUCAGGUUGAAGACCCUUUUAUAAAUUUUGCACAUAAAUAAUGGGGCAAUUUCUUAGGAAUUACCCUAAUACUUAAUGACAUUAUAAUAAACAUCAGGAUGCCUUAUAAAGACAAGAGGUUUUGUCUAAAAACAAAAACAAAAAGUUGUUUUCCCAAAAAUACUUGAGUCCCUUCACAGGCAGAAGUGAACACCCCUCAUACUAUGGGAAUGCUUGUACAAUCAUGAACAUCCUUCCUUCUGUCUCUGAUUCUUUAUUCCAAGAACUUUUGAUACUUAUAGUUAGUGAAUGACUUGAAGUAGUAUCUUUUUAGUGACAACACUGGAUUUAAUUUAAAACGUAUGGCAGAAAAUCCAUCGCUUCAGUAAUGUACUUACUUUGUGUCUAUUAAGGAUGGCCUUUGCUCCCAAUAAAGUUAUGUAGGCACAGUUGUUCUCUAGUCAUUAUAACAUUAUUUUCUUAAUGAGAUGGUUUUACUUUUACUUCAAAAUGAAAUAAAAUAUAUUUUAUUGUACUCUCCUUGGGUCUAUUCAAAUUAUGAAAAGCAUAAUGCUUAUUAAUGACAAGUGAAGAAAGCAAUGGCUAAUAUUCUCUCAUCCUUCCUGCCUGCCUCUGAAAAUGAUAAUUACAAUUUUAAUUUGAACACUAGGCAUACUUUUGAAAUGUUCACCAUGUGAUACUUCUAAGUUGUCUCUAUAGUUAUUUUUUUAUUAUGAAUCAUACAGGCACUAUAGUUUGAAUUAAAUUUUUCAAUCAUAAAAACAUUUAUAUUACUACUAUUGAUUUAAACAUUAAGAGUUUCAAGAUGUAGUCUUUCCCAGUUAGUGAUAUUUAUGGUAUACACUUUCAUAAAUUUAAUGGCCACCAUUGCAGAGGAGAUUACUGCUAUUAUGAAGCGUUAAAGGGGUCUGGCUAUUUUCUCAUAAGCAAAUGCUAUGCCAACAAAGCUCAGCAGAGUUAUCUGUUUUCAUAGGAUUUUUCUAAAUCAAAGAUUACAUUUUAUUCAAUGGUGAAAAUAUGUUAUUUACAAACAAAAACAGAGGAAAGAAUUAGCUAAAAUUAAAAACAUUUCUUAUUUAUGUAGAGUACCACUUAUCUUAAAAUGCAUUACAUUUUUUAAUUUUUAAUAUAAAUAUAUAGUUAUCAAAUUAUUUUGAUAAUUAUAUUAUUUUUAAAAUAUUGUUCCUAAAAUCCUUUUAGACUCAAUGAAAAAAAAGUGGUUACCCAUAACAAAGUUGCAGUAAGAGCAAACUUAAAAGCCUUACUUUAGACAUAGAAGUGUGGCCUUUACCUUCAGACUAAUGUUCUGAAAUUUUUAUGUAAUUUUCUAUUUCCUUAUUACCUCUUUAUAAUUCCUCAAAGAAUUCUUAUUUCAUAUGUAUUUGCUUAGAAUGUUUUUCUAAUAGCUUCUUUUCAAUAUGCCUUUAGAAAACUUCUUGCAAAAGGUAGCCUACAAAUAUAUUACAUUAAUUUUAAAACAUGUACUGAGUAAAAUAUUCACCAACUUAUAAAAUUUUCAACUAUUUUUAUAAUUUUGGGCAAUAGUGGAAAUAGAUCACUUUGUUAACAUUCUUUUUUGUUAUGCUUUUCAUUACUUUGAAAUUUCCGUAAUGCAUUUUAUUCAUCCCUGGCAAAUAUGUCCCAUAUCCACCUCUGUGAAUCCUGGAUUACAGAUUACUAGGUGGUGCUUUGUUUUGCUUCAUGCCUUGGUUCAGAGUAUUAAUUGUGGAUAUCAUAGUUCUGGUGAAAAUUUUUCUUAUUAAAAAAUCUUCAGGGCACCAUGAGAAGAUGGCAGGAUAGGAGGACCCUAAGCCCCCCUGGACCUUCUGGUAUACCUAGAUAACACUCACAUUGGCAAAACCCAAAAGAAAUGAUUCAAAGACUGGCAAAACAAACUCCACAACUAAAGAUAGAGAAGAAACUACACCAAAAAGAUAAGAAGGGGGAGAUGCAGUUUGGGAGCAAAAUGGACCAUGGCCAUCCAGGGUGAAAAGGGAGCGAGUGGCACAGAGAAGGGCACAGAAAUAGAUUAUCAUACUGGGGAGCCCAAAUGGGGACGACAAAUCCCCAUCAUAUUUGGCUUUAAAAGCAAGAAGGGCUGAAUUUUGUGAGUUCUUACAAUCAGGAAGACUUAAAACUUGCAAUUCAAAAAUUAAGUGGGCUAGGCUCUGUGAGAGUCUUGAGGAAGCCAAGUUCCUGCCCCUAAAGAGACAGCAGGACAAACAGCCAGAGGAGACACAGUGAGGAAGCAGCAGUUUGAAAAAUGACUGGGGCAGAAGGGAGGGAGAUUGUUUACUCAUCUCAGAGCUGGCAGUUAGAGGCAGGGAUCACCAUGAGACUGCUGCAGGAACAAAGGAGCUAGAUGACAUUUCCCUCCCCCACCCCCCAAUGUAAACACAUAGCCACCUGCAGGAACCAGCACAGGGCUAACACUCCCUACCGAAUUUUCUUCCAUGAAGCCCUAAACUUCCAAAGAUCUGCCUCUGCCAAUUACAAUUUCUUCAGUCCUGGCACUGAGGACCUCUUCCUGAGAAGACCAGCACAAACCCCCACCAACACCUUGUCUCCUGACCUGUACACUUUGCAGGGCUUCAGUUCCAGCAGCAGUGGUGGACUAGCACAAGCAGACUAGCACACCCCUUGUUAAAACCUGCCCCAUAUAGCCAGGGACCAAACAGGGCCCACAACAGGCAUAGUGAGCUUCUCCAGACAACUGGACUGAAGGGAAAAGAGUACACUCAGCACACAUAGGAGAUGCUCCCUCAAGUGCCAGGCCCUGGGGAAGAGGAGACACUCCACUGUAGGUCACUACAGGACCUCUUCCCCACAAGGCCUUUACCUUCAAGAUCAAGAGAUGUAGCUGACUUUCCUAACACACAGAAACAGACACAGUUAGACAAAAUGAGAAUCCAACGGAAUAUCUCCCAAAUGAGAGUGUAUAAAAACAAGACCCUAGAAGAGACUCAUUUCAGUCCAAAAGCCACCUGCAGAUUGAAAGUAAGGGGAUAGAGAAGCAUUUGUCAUGCAAAUGGUUGUCAAAAGAAAGCUCAAGUAGUAAUAUUUAUAUAGGACAAAAUACACUUGAACACAAAGACUGCAACAAGCGACAAAGAGGAACUAUAUAAUCAUAGAGGGGAUAAUCCAACAAGAAAGCAUACCAAUUACAAAUAUUUAUGCACCCAACAUGGGAUCACCCAAAUAUAUAAAGUAGUUAAUAACAAAUGUAAAUGAACUAGUCAAUAGUAAUACAAUAAUAGUAAAGGAAGUUAACACCCCCACUUACAUCGAUGGACAGAUCAUCUACAUAGAAUCGACAAGGAAAUAGUGGAUUUGAAUAACACACUGGAACAGAUGGCUCUAACACAUAUCUAUUCAUAAUAUUCCAUCCUAAAACAGCAGAAUACACAUUCUUUUUAAGUGCACAUGGAACAUUCUCCAGAAUAGAUCACAUAUUAGGUCACAAAACAAGUCUCAACAAAGUCAAAGGAUUGAAAUUACACUAUGCAUCUUUUCUGACCGCAAUUCUAUGAAACUAGAUAUAAAGCACAAGAAAAAAAUCUGGAAAGAGCACAAAUACAUGAAUGUUAAAUCACAUGCUACUAAACAAUGAAUGGGAGUCAACCAAGAAAUUGAAGAAGGAAUAAACAAUCACAUGAGAACAAAUGAAAAUGAAAACAUAAUGGUGCAAAAUCUAUGGGAUGCAGUACAAGCAGUUCUGAGAAGGAGGUUUGUAGCAAAGCAGGUCUACCUCAAUAAACAACAAAAUCUCUAACAACCUAACUGGAUACCUCAGGGAGCUAGAUAAACGAUAACAAAACCCAAAAUGAGCAGAAAGAAGGAAUAAAGAUUAGAGUAGAAAUAAAUGAAAUAGAAACUUAAAAAAAAAAAAAAAAGGCAGUAGAAAGGGUCAAUGCAAACAGGAGCUAGUUCUUUGAAAAGGUCAAAAAAAUUGAUUACCUCUAGCCAGACUCAGAAGAAAGACAAAAAGAAGGGGAAGGGUAGAGGAUGAGGAAGAGCAGGAGCCAGGACCCCAAUAAACACAAUCACUCAUGAAACAGGAGAAAUAAUAGCCAACACCAUAUAAAUACAAGCAGAUGUGUAAGAAUAUUAUUUAAAUAAUUAUGCCAGGGUGCCUGGGUGGCUCAGUUGGUUAAGUGUCCAACUCUUGAUUUUGCCUCAGGUCAUGAUCUCAUGGUUCAUGGGUUCAGGCCCGGCAUGGGGCUCUGCAGUGACAGUGUGGAGCCUGCUUAUGAUUCUCUCCCAUGCUCUCUCUGCCUAUCCCUCCUCUCCGUCUCUCUCAAAAUAAGCAAACAUUUAAAAAUUACAGCGACAAAUUGGACAACCUGGAAGAAAUGGAUAAAUUCCUUCAAAUAUACAGCCUUCCAAAAUCCAAUCAAGAAGAAAUAGAAAAUUUGAAUAGCUCAAUAACCAGAAAAUAAGUUAUAAGCCUAUCAAUGUUGUAUUCAGAUUGUUACAGUGAAUAUGAAGCAUGCGGUCUCUCCUUUAUAAAGAAAAAGACCAUAAAACUUGAGUAUGAAAUAAAAAAAUAAAUAAAUGAGAAAUUAAGACACUCCAGGUAAACAAAAGCAAAGGGAUACUACCACUAUACUACCCUAUAGUAAUACUAAAGGAAGCAAAACUAUAUGGUCAACUAAUCUUCGACAAAGCAGGGAAGUAUAUCCAAUGGGAAAAAGACUGUGUCUUCAACAAAUGGAGUUGGACAGUAACAUGCACAAGAAUGAAACUGAACCACUUUCUUACACAAAAAUAAAUUCAAAAUGGGUGAAAGACCUAAAUGUGAGACAGGGAACCUUCAAAAUCCUAGAGGAGAACACAGGCAGCAACCUCUUUGACUUCAUUUGGAGCAGCUUCUUACUAGAUAUGUAACCGAAGGCAAGCAAAGCAAAAGCAAACAUCAAGAUAAAAAGCUUUUGCACAGUGAAGGAAACAAUCAACAAAACAACUCCUAUGGGAGAAGAUAUUUGCAAAUGACAUAUUGGAUAAAGGGUUGCUAUCCAAAAUCUAUAAAGAACUUACCAAACUUAACACCCAAAAAAACAAAUAAUCCGAUGAAGAAAUGAAUAGACACUUUUCCAAAGAAGACAUGUACAUGGCCAACAGACACAUUAAAAUAUGCUCAACAUCACUCAUCAUUAAGGACAUACAAAUCAAAACCACGAUGAGAUACAACCUCACACCUGUCAGGAUGGCUAAAAUUAACAACACAAGAAAACAGGUGUUGGAAAGGAUGUGGAGAAAGGGGAACCUUCUUGCACUGCUGGUGGGAAUACAAACUGGUGCAGCCAUUCUGGAGAACAGUAUGGAGGUUCCUCAAAAAAACUAAAAAUAGAACAACCCUAUAGUCUAGUAAUUACACUAUUAGCUAUUUACCCAAAGGACACACAAAUGCAGAGUUAUAGGGGUACAUGCACCUGGGCAUAUAUAGCAGCAUUAUCAACAAUAGCCAAACUAUGGAGAAAGCCCAAAUGUCCAUCAACAGAUGAAUGCAUAAAAAAGAUGUGGCAUAUAUACACAAUGGAAUAUUACUCGGCCAUCAAAAGGAAUGAAAUCUUGGCAUUUGCAAGGUGGAGCCAGAAAGUAUUAUGGUAGAUAACAUAAGUCAAACAGAAAGACAAAUACCAAAUGAUUUCACUCAUAUGGGGAAUAUAAGUAAUAAAACAAAUGAACAUAUGAAAAGAGGUGAGGGAGAAUAAAGGAAAACAAACCACAAGGGACUCUUAACAAUAGAAAACAAACAGAGUUGAUGGAGGGAGAUGAAUGGGAGAUGGGCUAGAUGGGCAAUGAGUAUUAAGGAAGGCGCUUGUUGUGAUGAGCACUGGGUGUUGUAUGUAAGUUAUGAAUCAUUGAAUUCUACUUCUGAAACCAAUACUGCACUGUAUGUUAAAUAAAAUUAAAUAUAUAUACAUAUAUAUAUAUGUGUGUGUGUAUAUAUAUAUAUAUAUAUAUAUAUAUAUAUAUAUAUAUAUAUUCUUCUAAAAACUAUUCCAAAAAUAGAAGAGGAAGGAAAACUUCCAUAUUCAUUCUAUGAGGCCAAUAUCACCCUGAUUCCAAAAUCAGGCAAAGACAUUACCAAAAAAAAAAAAAGAGAGAGAGAGAGAGAGAGAGAGAACGGGCAAAUAUCUCUGAUUAACAUAGAUGCAAAAAUCCUCAAAAAAUAAUAGCAAACCAAAUUCAGCAAUACAUUUAAAAAAUCAUUCAUCAUAGGAUCCCACCAAUUGUGAUUUAUUUCCAGAAUGCAAGGGUGGUUCAAUGUUCAUAAAUCAAACAACACAAUACAUCACAGGAACAAGAGUAAGAAUAAAAGCUAUAUGAUCAUUCUAAUAGAUACAGAAGAAGCCUUUAAAAAGUAGGUCUAGAGGGAACAUACCUCAAAAUAUUAAAGGCCUUAUAUGAAAAACCCACAUAAAAAUCAUACUCAAUGGAGAAAAACUGAGAACUUUUCCCCUAAGGUCAGGAAUAAGACAAGGUUGUCCACUCUCAAUGCUUACAUUCAACAUAGUACUAGACGUCCUAGCCACGGCUGUUGGACAACAUAAAGAAAUAAAAGGCAUCCAAAUUGGCAAGGAAGAAGUAAAACUCUCACUACUUGCAGAAGACAUGGAGCUAUAUACUGAAAACCCUGUUAACUCUACCAAAGAACUACUAAAACUGAUAAAUUAAUUCAGUGAAGUUGAAACAACUUCAAUGGACAGAAAUCUGUUGUAGUUCUAUACAGUGAAAUUAAGAAAACAAUCCUAUUUAAAAUUGUACCAAAAAUAAUAAGAUACCUAGGAAUAAACUUAACCAAAGAAAUGAAAGGCUUGUACUCUGAAAACAAUAAAACAUUGAGUAAAGAAACUGAAGAUGACACAAACAAAUGGAAAGAAAUUCCAUGUUCAUGGAUUGGAAGAACAAAUGUUAAAACGUCUAUGCGACCUAAAGCAAUCUACAAAUUUAAUGCAAUCCCUAUCAAAAUACCAACAACAUUUCUCACAGAACUAGAACAAACAAUCCUAAAAUUUUCAUGGAGCCAUAAAAGACCCUAAAUAGCCAAAGAAAUCUUGAAAAAAAACAAAACUGGAGAUAUCACAAUUCCAGACUUCAAGCUAUAUUACAAAGUGGUAGUAAUCAAAACGCUAUGAUACAGGCAUAAAAAUAGACACAUACAUCAAUAGAACAGAAAACCUAGAAAUAAAGCCUUCAUUAUAUGGUCAAUUAAUAUUCAGUGAAGGAGGUAUAAAUAUACAAUGGGAAAAAGACAGUUCUCUUCAACAAAUUGGUGCUGGGAAAAAUGGAAAAAGUAGACAGCCACAUGCCAAAAAAUGAAAUUGGACUCCUUUCCUAGACCAUACACAAAAAUAAACUCAAAAUGGAUUAAAGACCUAAAUACAGGACCUGAAACCAUAAAAAUGCUAGAAAAGAACACAGGCAGUAAUUUCUCUGGCAUCAGCCAUAGCAACAUUUUUCUAGAUAUGUUCCCUGAGGCAAAGGAAAUAAAAGCAAAAACAAACUAUAGGGAUUACAUCAAAAUACAAAGCUUCAUAACAGUGAAGAAAACUGUCAACAAAACUAAAAGAUACCCUAAGGAAUGGGAGAAGAUAUUUGCAAAUGACAUAGCUGAUAAAGGGUUAGUAUCCAAAAUAUAUGAAGUACUUCUACAACUCAACACCAAAAAACAAAUAAUCCAAUUUAAAAAUGGACAGGAGACAUGGACAGACAUUUCUUCCAAGAAGACAUAUAGAAGGCCAACACAUACAUGAAAAUAUGCUCAACAUCAAUCAUCUUCAGGAAAAUGCAAAUCAAAAGCACAAUGUGAUAUUACCCCACACCUGUCAGAAUGGCUAAAAUCAAAAACAUAAGAAACAACAAGUGUUGGCAAGGAUUCAAAAAAAAGUGACCCCUCUUGAAUUGUUGGUGGGAAUGCAAACUGGUGUGGCCAUUGGGGAAAAUAUUGUGGAGUUUCCUCCAAAAGUUAAAAAUAGAACUACCCUGUUUUCCAGUCAUUGCACUACUGGGUAUUUACCUAAAAAAUACAAAAACACUAAUUCCAAGGGACACAUUCACCCCUGUGUUUAAGCAUUAUUUACUUACAAUAGUCAAACUAUGGAAGUAGCCCAAUAUAGUGGUCUAUAUAUACAAUGGAAUAUUAUUCAGCCAUAAAACAGAAUGGAAUCUUGCCAUUUGGAACAGCAUGGAUGGAUCUAAAGAGUAUAACUUUAAGUGAAAUAUUCAGUCAGAGAAAGACCAACACCAUAUGACUUUACUCAUAUGUAGAAUUUAAGAAACAAAACAAAGGAGCAAAGGAAACAAAGACACACACAGAAAAUCAAGAGAGAACAAACUGAUGGUUAUCAGAAGGGAGGUGGGUGAGGGGACAGGUGAAAUAGGUGAUGGGUUUAAAGAAUACACUUAUUUUUUUAAAAAGUACAUUCAUAUUAGUGAGCACUGAGUAAUUAUAGAAUUACUGAAUCACCUGAAACUAAUAUAACACUGUUAUUUAUGUGGGCAUUUAAAAAUAAUGAUUUUUAAAAAAUCUUCAUAUUCAGGUUUCUCAUUUCUGAAUACCUCCAUUAGUAGAUAUUGACUGUCAUGAAUCCCACAGAUGCAAACAUAAAUUUUUAAAAGUUCAGAUUAUUUUAGUUAAGGAUUUGUGAGUUAUAGGGAUGGAAUGAUUAGUUGCAAAAGUGGAUUCCUUGGAAAUUACUUCAUAUCUAUGUAGAGGUCUUCUGAAAACUUAUCAGAUUUAUUAUCACCUCAAAGUUUCUUGGGUUUUAUGAAUUUUCCAAGGUGAUUUGCCCCUGACCACUGUUACACUUCAUAACUUGAGGCAGGAUGUUUGUAUCCAUUCUGUUUUGUUAUGCUCUAUUUUUGCUGUCAUCUGAAAUGCCCUUUGAAAAUAUAUUAAACAGUUUGGGGGAGCCUGGGUGGCUCAGUCGGUUGAGCGUCUGUCUUCGGCUCAGGUCAUGAUCUCGCGGUCCGUGAGUUCGAGCCCCGUGUCGGGCUCUGUGCUGACCGCUCAGAGCCUGGAGUCUGUUUCAGAUUCUGUGUCUCCCUCUCUCUCUGACCCUCCCCCGUUCAUGCUCUGUCUCUCUCUGUCUCAAAAAUAAAUAAACAUUAAAAAAAGAAAAUACAUUAAACAGCUUCUUUAACAUAUGUGUUCUAAUACAGUGUAUGAAAUCAAUUCACUAAUCCACAAAUUAAAAUAAUGCCUAGAUAUACCUGAUGUUAUAGUGGAGAUCUAUUUUCAAAGAUGACCCAUUAGCCCAUGAUUGAUUAUUAGUGUGGACAAAUUUUUCAGAUAAAUGCACUUGAACUAACCCAGAAAAAAGGGACUUUGAUUGCCAAAUGGGACAGAGAGGCAUCCCAUUUUGAAGGCAAAGCAUUGUUGUAAGAAGUAAAACAUGGAUGUUACCUUAAUGAAGGUAAACUGAGGCUACAUUUGACACCACAGUUGUGAGGAGUGAGUAUGAAUAUGUGAUGUGCCUUCAGAGCUUUCUGAGAAUUCUGAGUGUCCAAGAGAAAGAGCAAAACUAUGAGGAACAUUAAAGAACAUUUGCUGGUUUUUUUUACGUUACUGAUGUAGAAACUGAAGUAAUCAACUUAAUGUAUUGUCCAUAUUGUACCAGACUCUGUUAUUUAUUUUUAAAACUGUGUAAGAUCAUGUAAUAAUUUCCUACUUUUAACCAUGUUGACAAUAGAAUUCUUUUCUCAGAUAUAAUCUUUAAAGAUUAUACACCUAGCCUUUGAAGUAGCUUGUUAAACAUAUAUUGUAGGAGAUUGUCCUACAUAUCAAUUUUACCCAUCUUUGUCUGAUUUGCUCUUCCGUGUAUUUAUUUACAUUGCUUUGCACCCUUUGCAUUUUACCCAUGGGUACUACAGGGAUGUCUUGAAGUGUUAACUAACAUCUCUAACAGUUUUUGACAUUGCAUGAUCCCUGAGGAAAACUAUGGUUGUGUAUUCUAUGUCUACAUUAAUUAUGACUUUUACUUAUGCAAAUUUGAUAAGUCAUUGGAGAGUGGAAAUGGUGAGUAUGUUGGAGAUAAAGUAAAAUCCUUUCUAGUUAAUUGAUUUUUCAUUUGCUUUACUGCAUUAAGUGGAAUUGUGUUAGCAAUGAACUUAACUCAGACUGGGUUUUAUUCCUUUGAUCUAUUGCUUCAUGAAAUCUAUCUCUUCCUUUCUUUUCAUGUAUGGUAAAUGCUUACCAUUCUGCUUUUUAUCCUCUGACCUAAGCUAAUUAGUUUCCUUCACCGUCAUAACACUAUGAUAACUCUUAUUUCUACCACUCCUCUUUAGAAUGAUACAAGUAUAAUGAAGAGUCCUGUGAAUUACAUUUUAACUGUAUAACCACAUAAAAUGUGAAACUUUUUGAGAAGUGAGUCAAACAUAUUAUGCAUGCGAUGUAACAGAUCUCAUCUGUUUCUCAUCUUAAAGCUCCUUAGAUCUUCUUAGGGACAACAUCUUCAACCUAUAAAAUGGUAUUUUGAGGAGAGCAGACAUUUCAGUGAGUCUAAAUUUAAAGUUAGAGGAUUAUCUCCAAGGUUGAUCUAUUGGAAUUACUUAUCUGGACCGAAGUAAUUCAAGUAAUUCAGGUGUAGUGAAACACUUCUAAUUUUAAAUUCAGAAGCAUUAAGGAGUGAGUUGGAUUAUUGGCUAUAGCACUUAGUUGAUCCUCUUUCUUAUCAUCCUUGACUUUUAAAGCCUGGCCUUUUUUUAAAUGUUCUUCAGAAAUCCAUGUGCUCACAGCAUUUGAUUCAUUAAUUUUGAAUGACUAUUAUAAAGGCCUUUUAAGUGAUAAGUUCAGAGAUACCUAAAAACCCAAGUGUGAACAUACACAAUUAAAAGAAAGAACUCUGUAAAAAUGUCAUAAUGAAUCAGAAGUUCCAAAGUGAAUCUUGGGUGAAAGGAGACUGAUCAUAUUUUACAGGCAAGUCAUUUUUUUUUUCAAAGUCUGAAUCUUCACUAAAUGGAUCCUUGGCAUUGAAGAAAUUUCAGCAGUGAAAAGGGGUGCUCUUGCUUUGGUCUCAAAGACACAGUUGUGUCUCAUGGGUUAAACUACACCUGGUGUUAAAUGCCAAGGUGAUGUAUGAAAAGGGAGUAACAGAAAAUUAAGACCCAGAGGCUAAGAAAACGGGACCAAUGCAGGUAUCAGCCACGGAUACACUAUACCAGAAUGAGGAGGGUUCUAGCUACUGAUGACAAAGAAGCCACUGAAAGUCCCUGCUGGGAAAGCCAUCCUAUUCAAGAUUUAAAAGACCUCUUUAGGAAAGGAAACCUAUGACAACUAUGUUCGUUCUGUGGUCCAUAUUAAUGAUGUCUUCUCUCUCCCUAGGUUGGAAAGACAAUGCACUCAUACAGGAGGAGAACAGAAAGCCCUCAUACAUCACUGAACAGGAAUCAGACCUCUUGUACAAACAUCAAGCACCUCUGAAAAUAAGCACCACUAAAUCUACAUGGAAUCAGGAAACGUUUCAGGCUACUGCACCCCCUCACUGAUCAAUGACACUCUGUCCCUUUAAAACCCUCUUGGCUAGGCAGAAACACAGAGUUGGCUUUUGGACAAGAGUCUGCCUUCUCCCCAGCUGGCUGGCCUCCUGAAUAAAGCUCAUAUGCCUUGCCAACCAACAGCCAUCUCUUGAGUAUUGGCCUUUUGACCAAUGGGCAGCCGAACAUGGGAUUUGGUAACAUGCCCUUCUCAUAGUUGGAGACCACUGAAUUAAAAGUUAUCAGAAAAAAAUCCUCUUCUCCUAUACCUUCUCAAUCUUUAUAUCUCUUUCUUAUAUUUCUUAUUUGAGAAGCCUUGAAUUCUUGAGGACUAAGAAGUCUUCCUUGUUUUCAUUUGAAUUUUGAUACAAAUAACUUUGUUCCAAAGAACAUCAAAAUAGAUAGCUUACCAGGGGUGCCUGGAUGGCUUAGUCAGUUAAGCGUCCAACUUCAGCUCAGGUCAUGAUCUCAUGGUUGAUGAGUUCAAGUCCCAUGUUGGGCUCUGUGCUGACAAAUCAGAGCCUGGAACUUGCUUCAGAGUCUGUGUGUCCCUCUCUGUCUGCCCCCUCUCCUCCUGUCUCUCUGCCUCUCAAAAGUAAAUAAACUUUAAAAAAAAUAGUUUAGCAGAUAUUAAUAUUCAUGCCUUAUUAAAAUAAUGUUUUAUGUAAUAUUUUGUAGUAUUUAUAGAUGGACUAUCUAUGAAUAGUCCUUCUUGGAAUGGUUUUAUACUUUAAAUAAUAUAAAAUUAAUUAAUGCUUUAUAUAUUUAAAUAGUCAUACAAUAGGUAGAAAUGUUGAAUGACUAAAUUAAAGGAAUUUAGAAAAGAUUAUUUAUUAUCCACUGUACUUAAAGCUGAAAAGUGCUGAAAACAAUUUUAUUAGUUGUCUUUAAUUAGAGUUUAAGGUAAACAAUAAAGGAAACUUAGAUAUACUAAACUCCCCAUAAUACACCCUAUGCAACAAUACAGAAUUAUGUCUAGUAUGCUACUCAAGAUUAAGCAUUAAAGAAAAAGCAGCAGAUAUCAACAUUUACAUUGGCAAAUGCAUUUAUCUUCAGUUGAUUAGAGCAAAUAUGGUCUUUUCAGACAACGUGGCUCUAGUGAGGUGAAUUUACUUCUUGGUUUUAAAUUCUGUACAAUAAAAAGUAAAGGGAUCUCAAUUUAAAGCUGAAUUCUUCUAUGCAGCACAUUUUAUAUCUACCUGAAUUCAAGUUUAUGUGCCUAAUGAAUGAGUUACAAUGCUCAAGCACCUAUUAAUAAUGAGAAGAUGAAGUUAGAUAAGAUGCGGCUUGCCUGAUCUUUGCAAGUCUCCCAGAACCAAGGUGCACUGCCAUUUAAGCAUGCAUCUUUAAGAAUCGCAGUGUGUGCAAGGAUGCUUAGGUUUCAAAAAAAUCCCUCAAUGAUGAAGAAGAAAUUAUCUGUUGUGUCAUCACCUCCCAAGAAGCUCUUCUAUAAAUAAGGUUAACACAGACCAAAUAAGACUUUUCCUUUUGGAGAAACAAGGACCACACAUGUGCCUGUGAUAACUCAUAUGUGUUUCAUAGAAAUGAUAAAGUUAUUAUGCGGUGGCCUAUUUGGCCAGUUUUGAAUUAGAAGCCUUAGAACAAAUUCCAUAUGUCGGAAAUUGAGUGAGUAAACUCGUGUUGAAUAAUGAGAAUGAUAAAUUAAAGAAUAUACGUGUGAUUUAUCAUCCCUUCCUAGAGAACACCUUUAGCAAUAGCAAAUGUAAAUUAAGAUGACACUACAAAACAGAUUAGGGGAGAAUAGCAUGCAGAAUUCCAGCGAGAUUAACAAUGAGGACAGGAGGCAUUUUAAAAAUCACAGAAGAUAUUCAAGCACCUACUGGUCUUGGAAAGAGUCAGUGUUUGUCUAGUCCCUUUCAUCCAAGAAUCUCACUACAUUUAAAUGUAUUUCAAAUUGAUUUUCACGUUCUAAAGCAUUCAUAUUGUAAUUUAAAUCCAACAGAUCAAAAUAAAAAUCACAGUGCCCUGUGUUUAUUAAAAACUACAAAACAGAAAGAAAACUACUAAUGAAUCCCUCUUGGUAAAUUAUUCACAAACAGACACAAACACAGGGAAGAUGAGCAGAAAACACUGUGCUUCACUAACACUGUGGGGUAGGAUAAUUUAUUGGAAAAUUCAUUUGUGUUUUGGUUUCUCUGCUAAGGAAAAAUCAGAAAGAAUGAGUUCACAGUGUUUUGUGCUCUACAUUUUUCCAUCCGUUCUGACUAGGUCCUUGUAUUUCUUUGCCUCAGGGGCUUCUCAGGGCCUAAAGCAGAAGAUGCUUGAAAAUAACCUCUCUUCCUGGCUUUUUUAAAAGUCCAAACCAGGGGUCACACUCUCAAAUACCAACAGAGCCAGGCUGGCACCUAAGUGAACAAAGUUGGACUGGGUUUAAUUUUUCCCACGUAGGCUCAAUUUAAUUGCAUAUUUAUCUAUGAAGGAAUGUUUUUACACUAAGGAAUACAUUUUUCCAUUUUCUAAAAAAAAAAUAUUUAGAAUUUUGGUCCACUUUUCUUCUCUUUUGAUAGUGUCAAUGAAAAAUUGCACCGGAAUUAAACAGGAAAGGAAAACUUUAUUCAAGAUUAUAACAAUAGAGGUGAAGACUGUUGCCACAGGAAAAAGACACCGAAGUCAACUUUGCUGAAACAGAAAGUAGGAGGAUUCUUAAAUGCUGGAGCAAGCUAAUGAAAAAUAUAGGGGAACAUUGGGGAAGGCUGGUCUAUGUGGUUAGGCCAUCUGUGUUGGGUUCCUACCAUCCCAGAGAGAUUGGGAUACAGGGGUACUAAUUCUUUUGAUUAUUACAUUUGAAAGGAAUAGCCCCCAGGUCUUUGAGAAAGACCUUCCAAGGUUACAAAAAUGGGCAAGAACUUGGGAGAAGACUUACAUCUCAGAGGGGCAGAGAAAAAAUUCAGAGGACCAAGUUUUCUAAAUAAGUAAGCUCAAAAAAAAGGAGGUCAGAGACCUAUUACCAGGAAGAAGCCUAUAUGAAAUUUAGUUAAACCAGGGGGAAACUUAAGGCCUUCAUGGUCAACAGUGACAUAGCUGUAGGGAGAUAUUUCUCUUAUACUAGGAAGACAACAGUGUAAAUGUGAUAACUGGCAAGGACCAGCAGGUUAAUGUCCUGGGAGAUGUUAGUUGUCCUGAUGAGGAAACCUGAAGCCUGCAAGCCUCAUCUAAAGGGAGCAGUAGUACACUGCCCCAGCUAGUGUUCUCAGGAGGAACUGCAGACCUAGUUUUGCCAGAUGUGUUAAUUUUUCAGGAGUAUCCAUAUUUUUAUCUAGGCAAUUAAUUUAAAGUUUUUCAUCACUUUGAAAUACUAGCAA